UCCUACGGGAGGCAGCAGUGAGGAAUAUUGGUCAAUGGACGCAAGUCUGAACCAGCCAUGCCGCGUGCAGGAUGACGGCCCUAUGGGUUGUAAACUGCUUUUGUACGGGAAGAAACACUCUUCGAGAAAGAGCUGACGGACCGUAAG
rnacentral:rRNA from 1 species